AGGCGUGUAGCUCAGUGGGAGAGCGCUACCUUGACACGGUAGAGGUCGGCGGUUCGAAACCGCCCACGCCUA
rnacentral:tRNA from 1 species